UGGGGAUUCGUCCAACGGUAGGACACCAGUUUUUGGUACUGGCUAUGUGGGUUCGAUUCCUGCAUCCCCAGCCA
rnacentral:tRNA from 1 species